UAUUUGGCAGAGUGCUUCGUCUAACCCUAAAUUUUGGUCGCUUUCUAUACAGAUGUUUGCUGUUUUGUCUCUAGCUUUCAGUAAACUAUAGAAAGACGAAACGCCGUUGCCGAAAAGGUGGGAAAAAAGUCUAGAGGCUACUCUGCCAAGCUCAAUCUCCUAAGUAAUGCGUCUGGCCGUGGUCAGCUUGGCUGCCGCGAAGAGUUCGUCUCUGUUGCUCCGCGUUUAUUUCCGGGAGAUCUUAAAAAAUUGAGCAGAUUAAACUGAACCUGGCUUUGCUUUGAGGGUCUUUGAUCGUGGGCCUCCAAGAAAGCCGGCGUUCAAACAUUU
rnacentral:telomerase_RNA from 1 species